AAGGAAGAUGGGGGAAAAGAAGUCUGGCUGCUAAAGACACUUGAUGGAGGAAGAUUACUCAUGUUCAGGCUGGAAGAUGGAUGGGAGAGAAAAACUGGAGCCCAGAAGGAUGUUUAGGGGAAAGAAGGUGAGAUCAUAAAAGAAGCAAGAUUAUGUUUUAAGGCCACAGGGAUACAGAAAAGGCUGACUUCUUAUCUCACGGAUUCUAGGUAGUCAAGGGUCUUCCAUCAUCCAUUCUUUCAUUGUUUGGUCGCUAAGCCGUGUCUGACUCUUUGUGAACCUGUGGACUGUAG
rnacentral:lncRNA from 1 species